GAUGAACGCUCGCUACAGGCUUAACACAUGCAAGUCGAGGGGAAACGGCAUCGAAAGCUUGCUUUUUAUGGGCGUCGACCGGCGCACGGGUGAGUAACGCGUAUCCAACCUGCCCAUCACUUGGGAAUAACCUUGCGAAAGUAAGACUAAUGCCCAAUGACAUCCCACGAAGGCAUCCGAAUGGGAUUAAAGAUUUAUCGGUGAUGGAUGGGGAUGCUUCUGAUUAGCUUGUUGGCGGGGUGACGGCCCACCAAGGCAACGAUCAGUAGGCGUUCUGAGAGGAAGGUCCCCCACAUUGGAACUGAGACACGGUCCAAACUCCUACGGGAGGCAGCAGUGAGGAAUAUUGGUCAAUGGGCGAGAGCCUGAACCAGCCAAGUAGCGUGCAGGAUGACGGCCCUAUGGGUUGUAAACUGCUUUUAUAAGGGAAUAAAGUGGGUCACGUGUGACUUUUUGCAUGUACCUUAUGAAUAAGAACCGGCUAAUUCCGUG
rnacentral:rRNA from 1 species